GCAAAGAUCAAUUCAUGCAUUUAAAGAGCAAGAUGGGUUUAUCCAACUUACAUCUCCCAUCUUGAGGGGGAGUGUUAUCACAGCAAAUCAUGCUUAGCUGUACACGGUUUCCAUUCAAAUCAAGAUGGCAAUGAAUUUGUGAUUAAUAGGAGAUAUUUUCAUUCAAUAGGAAUUGUUUGUAAUUAAGUAUCUUUGACCAUUUUCCAU
rnacentral:lncRNA from 1 species